rnacentral:lncRNA from 1 species
CUCCGCUACCAUAACUGAGGCUCUUUCAAAGAUAAGCCUUGUCGAAUAUCGCUUAGAGUCAAACACCUGGCCAUUCCUAGCCAGCCAAAUGUAGAGAGCCAAAUAGGCUACAUGAACCCCAGCCACCUUGGAUAGAUCAGCUCCAGUGCUACUCUGUAGGAGCUCUAAAAGGGCCUGAGUGAGGUUCUUCGCCUGAGCAAUACCUAGGUGCAACCCCGCC